ACUUGUUUUUACAUAUGACUAGAACUUGUUAUUGAGUUGUUUUUGUGCUCUUUGCACACUUCACUGUGUAGUAUGUAAAUUCUUUUUAGUACAUCCAAAACUUCUAAAGCUAUGCAGCUUGUGUGGUGUUUAACUGCUUAUAACAGCUGUUUAUGAGAUAGUGUGAUCCAACCAAUAAGCAGGUUAGGAAAUGAUAAGCGCAGCAGGGUUAGUCUUUUGAGGUGUUUUGCCUUAGGGAAUAACAACCAAACUUUCUUUGCUGUGGGGACAGUGACGAGGGGAUUUUUCAGGUUUGUUUUCUGGGUUUUUUGCACUGUGCCAGAUACAAAAGGAAAAAAUGAGGUUGUAUAAGACAAUACCUACUUUCAUUCUCUUGCUUACAGGAUAUUUUUGUAAAAAUAUGCAGGUUGCUGCGAACCAAACAUCUUUGCAAUCAGAGGAAACGUACAGUGUCACAUCUGGUGUCUCACCUUUUCACACUGCUGAACCAGCAACAGAUGGGAAAGAUCAUGUUCCAGCAGAACAUCUCUCAGCUUCAUUAGUGGCAGGACUCAGUAUUUGCUUUGUGCUCCUUAUUAUUGUCAUUAUUAGUAUUUGGCGUGUAUGAAAAAAGUCAAAGGUGCAAAGAAGAAAUGAAGGUUCUCUCAAUAGCAAUUUAAACAGCACUCCCCACAGAGCUGAGUCUUCAAAAAUUUAAGUGCUUGAAACAAAAGAGAUCCUAAUUACAGAAAAUAUCACACUUAUGCUAUGUUUGUUCUAAUGAAUCGAACCUGCCCAGGAAGAUUCCUACUGCUGCGACUAGCUGGAAUAGCCCUUGUUUAUGCUUGUUCACACGCAAACUACCUACUGGGAACGGUGCCUGAAACAUUCUAGCUGCCAAACUUUGGCCAGGGCCCAAACCAAUUUCUCUGCAUAAAUGGUAGCAUUUCAGUGCCUGGGAGUAUCCUAGGCAUUGUUUAAUUUACUAGUCUAGAUAUAUGGCCUUAUUGUUUAAACCUAUUUUUAACUGACAUAUUUGAUGUAUGUAUGCCUGUAGUGACAGUUUUUAGCACUGAUUAAUCAAAGCUGGCCACUACGAACCUUCAUUUAUUCAUUGUAUUCUGUUUUCCUGCUUCGUUGUAGCUGUGUGAAAAGUCAGCCACCUGAGUAUAAGGCUUGUUACCAAAAGUAUAUUACAGUGUCUUAAGCUGGAGAGUGAAUUUACGGAGUUGAAUGGUGUUGCACUCUUUCACUGGAUAGAAGAUCCCAUAGAAUAAAAUAGCAGUAUAGUCUCA
rnacentral:lncRNA from 1 species